UAACAAAGGAAUUCAAGGCCAAUCAGUUGCAUGUCAUCAAAUUCUCGUUUAACACAUCAUACUCAAUAGAGUGGCGUGAAAGAAGAAGGCUCAAACACUAAGAAAACGGGAGACUCGCAAGAUCGAGGCGACUUGGCAAUUUGGAGCGAGCAUAUGCACACUUGAUGGUUAUCAAGCGCUUCGGCUAUUACGUAUUAAUGUUUUGGGUCAAAUGCUCGUUUUUUUAUAUAACAUUUUUAGUGGUUACACUUUUUAACACUUGAUGUAUGAUUCUUAGUCGUGUCUAGAUGAACGGGUUGUAGACUUGUUUGUUUUGUUGAUGGUUAAAACAGGGAUAUACUCGUCUUAUGGACGGGUCAUGCCCAAAUUUUGUUAAA